GCGAGUUCUAUGCAGGCUUUUCCCUUUAUCCUUCGGCUUGUGUAGUGUGUUUCUUCCAAGGAAUUAUUGGGUCACAACCAAACUUAAGCAAUCCCUCCUGCAUAGAGAAAGCAAGCAACUUAAUAAACAGAUGAACAUAUGUAAAGUAGAAAUAUUACAUGCAACUGCAGGGCUCAUGAUGGAAAGAAUACAAAUGAGGAAUCAACUUGUUUAACCAUCCAAAUCUAAUAAAGUAUUUGAAUGCUCUAAACACAGAACAGUGGAAGCAAGGGACCAAUGAACAAUGCUCACCAAAGACAAGUGAUUGUUCUUCUUGUUGCCCAUAAUAUUCACUUUUCUACUAGAGGAACAUUUUUAGCUUGUCAUUUAAGCCUUUCUUUCAAUUGCAUGAUGAUCUGCACAUGAUUCAUAGGCUUGUUGCUGAUUUCUUCCAAUUUUAAAACUAUUGAUGUGAUGCUCACAUAGAUGAGCUCCGUAAUUUGUCUACGGAACCUGGUAACACAAUUUCUACUCUUUUGAUCACAGAUAUGCUCAUGUAUAAUUUUUUUCUAGAAGGACUAUGUUCUUUUCUAUUAACUUCAUGAAGUUGUAUUAUGGAUUAUGAUACCUUAUAUCCUUAUAAAAGAUGCAAGUUCUUUUCUUGCCAAGGAAGCCUUUUUCUUUGCUUCAACACAUCUUGAAAUAGCCUGAUAAUAUACACAAAAUGGGCACAAAAAGUUUCCUUCUGCAUCAAUCUGACAAGUAGUUAGGCAGCUUUCAUGAACCAUAAUUGGACAAGUAGUUUUUCUACAAACAAGCAAUUUACCGCCUUCUUUACACUUCAUACAACAUUAUUUUCUGCCAGCCUAGUACUUGUUGAGAUAUCAUGUCCAGAAGUGCAGUGAGAGCUCAAUAAUUCGCAUCACUUAAUAUCACUGCCCCACCAGCUUUAUCAUCUGCAGCAUUAGGUUCCUUCCCUUGAGCACCUGUUUUUCUUUUAGAUUGCAAUUCAUGAAUUACAUUGAGUGCCUUAUGUGCAGUAUUGUCUCCGUUUUCAGGAAUAACUUCGUUUGUGAAUUGUGAGCAGAACUUUUGUUUUAACUGGUUCAUCUUUUUGUUGCUGACAGUAUUCAAUGUCAGAUGUAUGCUUCAUACUGAUUGAAGCUUGUGGCUCACCAUGAGAGACUUCAUUCUGGUUACUGGAUUUACACCGAAUGGAAGCAAGGUGCUGAUCAUGACUACCCUCUUCAGACACCACUCCCAGAUUUUCCCGGACAUCCUUGUCGGUAUGAUUUUCUAUUACCUGUUUUCCAUGGGGAGGGACUGACUUCUCUUUGUUGGAAUCAACAUUUAAAAGUGAAUUACAUCUACUCUUCUUUACAUUUACUUCAUCACAUUCACUAAUAUCAACUUGCUUUCCGAGUUGGUAUCUCAUCACAUGCUCAUCAGCCGACUCAGCCCUGUUCCUCUUGCUGGGUAUAAUCUUAUCAAGUAAAGACUCUUUCGAUGAUUCAUUCACCUUCUCUAAAAUUGCAAACAUUGGGUUCUCUUUUGCUCCCAUGUUUUCACAAUAAUUGUGAUUCCCAUUAUCUCUUUUCCUAAGAUCAUCGCGGACGUUGUCAUUGACAUGCACUGUAUUCUCAUUCUGAUGUAGCAAUCCACUAAUGUCUCUUAAAUGAUCGGCAUAUGGAUGAGUACCUGCAGUGAUUGAUUCUUUUAGCUAUUUGACAAGAAAGAAGGGAAACCAACCAAUAAGAAUGGUAAAAAAAGAAAAAAUGUAUUAAACUCAUAAGCGAAAACAACAGAAACACAUUCUUAUUUUCUUAAGUAACUUUGAAUCACCUGCUGUAAGUCACAUUUGAUAGUGCCUCUUUUAUGCAUAAUAAAUUGGAAAACAUUCCAUUUCAAAAGCUUAGCUCAAUCCAUUUCUAAAUUGGGUAAUGGUAUCUGAUUUUGUUUUCCCAAAAGAAAUAGUCCAUUAAUUAGCAUAAUGAUAAAGCUAUCAUCAUAAAACAUAUCCAACAAAAUAAUUAACUAGUAAACAAAUUGCUUUACACAAUUUUACCUCAUCCAGUAUUUUUUGGAGGACAUCUUCACAACUGCUAGAAAAAUCAACCGAACUCUUGAAUCCAGGCCAGCUGAUGUAGCUUCAUCACAACCAACUCUAUGAGCAGAAUCGAAAAUUUCCUCCAAACAUCUAAGAGCAAUCAAUUCCCUUGUCUUUCCACAAAAAUCAGCUCGCGCAACAGGGGCCGCACGAAUCAAAGCUGGCGAACAAAAAGAAAAGAAACACAAUCAUGAAUCAUCAAUUUUCAGAAUCCAAAACAAAAAGAAGCUCCUAAAAUAAGGAUGGCUAGCCAAGUCAAGUGAGCUGUUUCAGUUUACAUUUUGAAUUUAUAUUCAUAUCAUUUCAUAAUCAAAAGUAAAUCAUCAUUGUCUUGACAAAAUUCAAAAGCAGUAAUUAAGAUGAAGAAAAAAAAAAGAAAUCAGUAAAACUAUCAUUAUACUGAAGAAACAGUUCAAGUGUUACAAUUAGUUACAUCUUUUUUUAUUCCAAUUGCAGUAACUGUAUCAAGAAACCGAGUCCUCAACGAAAUUUAGUAGCGCAAGCAAAAAAAAAGUUAAUAAAAUCGAGUAAUUUAAAAAAAAAAAAUCUAGUGAGAAAGAAAAAGAACGUACUUGAGAAUCGAUAGAUGCGGAGGUUUAAGUGGUGCUGAAAUCUUCAAGAGAAAGAGAAUGAGAAGGAGAAGAAGCCAUCGAUGAUUCCAUCAACUAGUUUAACCCAAUUUUCUGAAAACCGGUUCGAACCUGCCGGUCGAACCGGUUGAACCGCAAACCGAUGAAAAUUACGGUUCGGUUAUAUUUUAAAGCCAAAAAAAAUGAAAACCAACCUAAAAAAGCCAAAACGCACCCGUUUAGCAUUAUGAUUCACUAACCAGUAACCUCCCUAACCCUUACCAACCCUCACUCACUCCAGAUCUCCAACGGUGCAUCAGCAGUAGCACACACUCCCUCCGUCGUCCCUCUCAUCACCCUCAAGCUGGCCGUUUCUCUCAACGCCGGUGAGAUCAGUCCCUCCCUUUCGUUCAACCGCCGGACUGGUCUUGAUGCCAUCGCAAGUUCGGGCUUCGAAGCUCACUCAGUCCCUCAUUUCUGUUCGUGCAGCUAACGUCUCAGACUCUCAGCAGUGGAGCCUCCUGCCUCCGUCACGAAGCUCUCUUCCACAGUCCUCGGCGCCAUCUCUAUUCUUCCGUCGCAAGCUCUGUUCCUGCCUCUGUCGUCAGCUCUAUUCUAUGCUUCAUUGCUUCUAACCAAGGUUCUGAAAACUGGACCGGACUGGCCAAUUUAACCGCAAAUCAGUCACCUGGUCGAUCCAGUUGAGCCUCAAAACCGUCCUAUAAAAAAUCGGUUGAAUCAGUGGUUAACCGGUGAACCAAACGAACCGGUCGGGUUUUUAAUGGCACCGGUUUUUUAUUGUUGGUCUGAAACAACGCCGUUUUGACGCGUUAAAAAAAAAUGAAAACCCAUUACUGAACAUCUAAACCCACGUAGCCCCAGCCCCAUUUGUUCAGUCCCUCACCUCACCACACCUCAUCCCUAAUUCCUCUUCCAAUCUUCCUCCAACUCCAACGAAGAGCAGCCGCCACCCAGCCACCAUCACCGCUAUCCACUCCUCACCGUGGGUCGUCGGUGCUUCUCCCCUCCUCGCCCUGCUCCUCAUCGUUUCUGGCUGUCACUUCUUCUCUGCUUCCCGUUAGUCUUCCCGUUGCUGCCUCUUCGCUCCGCACCGUCUCCCGUCAUCGUUGCAUACGUUGCUUCUCCUUGCCGUCGUCGUCUCUCAAAGAUCUGCUUGGAGCUGUUGGCGUCGCAGUCUCCGUCAUCGUCGUCUUCGAGCCCUCUCACUCCUUCUCUUUCUGUCCGAGCUGAAUUUCCUUCCUCCCUGGCCGUCACUUCCCUUCCUCCCUCAUUGCCAGUAAGCGCUGCUCCUUCAAUUUAUGGUGUUGCUGAUUUUCUAAAAUAAUGGUUGAUGGUUAAUUUGAAUGAUUCUGUUAAAUUUUUUUUUGUUGAGUUAAUUUUGUUGAUGGAAUUCUGAGUUGGGGUUGAUGGUUGAUUUUAACAGUGCUUGUUAAUUUUGUUAAUUUUGUGUUCUGAGUUGGGGGUUGUUGUUGAUGUGAUUCUGAAUUUAAUUUGGAUGCUCAGUAUGAAUUCUUUGUUUAGUUUUUCUAUUUUUGGAUUUUCUGAUUUUGGAUGCUGAGUUCUCUGUGUUUGGAUUCGAGUUUUUAUUGUUGAAUACUUGAUUAGAAGUUUUUGUUAAAAUUUUUUGUGAUUCUAAAUUCUUUGUUGCUGGUGGGUUGAGUUUCUAUGUAAGUUUGUUAUUCUGAAUUUUUUUUGUGAUUCUUGAAUAUGAUCUUUGGGUUCUGGCCUCCAAAAGCAAGAAGUGUAUGUUGUUGCCAAGGCUGUGAUUAGAGGUAAAGGAAUUGCUUUGAGAUGAUGAACCUGGAUAGGAGAAUUAUGUAGCACCAGUUUAUUGUUGUGCAAGAAGUCAGAGAGAGUGAAAGAGAAUUUGAGAAUGAAAAAAGAAAUUGAUUUAAUUAUGAUUUGUAGGUCUCUUUUACACUGAAAUAUACAAAUAUUUAUAAUAAGUUGCUUUAGUUUCUAUAAUAUCUACAUGUAUAUUAAAUUUUAAUAAUUUUAUUAUAUAUUUAAUUAAAACGGUUCAACUACGGUUCCACACCGGUUGAACCAUUGAACCGGUCACUUGACUGGUUCGGUUCUUGCAACCUUGCUUCUAGCUUCUAGGUAUUUUUUUUAACAAUAAUUGCUGAAUAAUUUGUGAACUUAUGGGGUAAAUAAUUGUUAAUUAAUCUGUGAAUUACUAGGUUGAAUAAUUGUUGAAUAAUUGUUCAUUGUUCCGAAAGUCCAAAGAAAUAAGAAGCUUCUAGGUAUUUUUUUUAACAAUAAUUGCUGAAUAAUUUGUGAACUUAUGGGGUAAAUAAUUGUUAAUUAAUCUGUGAAUUACUAGGUUGAAUAAUUGUUGAAUAAUUGUUCAUUGUUCCGAAAGUCCAAAGAAAUAAGAAGCGGCGAAACAAAACGAUGUCGUACGACGACGUUGAGAUCGAGGACAUGGAGUGGAACAAGGAGCUUCAGGCGUACACGUACCCUUGCCCCUGCGGCGACCUCUUUCAGAUCACCAAGGACGAUUUGAAACUCGGCGAGGAAAUCGCUCGCUGCCCUAGCUGCUCCCUCUACAUCACCGUCAUCUACAACAUCGAAGAUUUCUCCGAUCACAAUCGCAGCAACAAACCUCUCCAACCUUCAAAUCCCCAAUCCCUCACCGUUGCUUGAAUUUUCAGGUUACUAUCCCUGUUUCCUCAUAUCGAUUUUCCUUUCUGUUGCCGCUCAGCUUAAUUGCACUAUUUUUUGCACUAAUCUGAGUGUUUACUUUAUGUAUCAACUUUUCUUUCUUUUUUUCUUUGUAAUAAUUUGUUGAGUAGUAUAUUAGAGAUAGAAAGAGAAUCCUUUGGCUAAAGUUAUGUAACUUAGAGAUGAAAUUUAUCACCUUUGUCUUUGUAUCGUGUUUACUUUUAAUCCCUAACCCUAAAUCAACAUAUAGUGUGUCUUAUAUAUACGUUUGUUGGAGUAUUAUUGCUAUGUGAUAUAGCUGAUAGGUAUAUUCACUCACUUUGCAAUUUGCAUAUCAUACCUCCCCCACCAUUGGUUUUGGUGUUGCCAGCCAUGCUCACAUGUUGGACUGCAUAUAGAACUUAGAAGAACUGAAGAAGUAUGGGGUAUAUGUGAGCUUUUCACAAAAUAAGGGGGUGUUGAAUUAGUGAAUUACCGUUUAAGUUUUACCCACAUUGAUUUGAGAAUAGGUUUGUGACUGAGCUUCUUUUCAAGUAAUCAAUGGGAAUCUAUUCUCAUUAGUACUAGUUUGUCAUAUGCUAAAUUCUGAUGCACUGAUCACUAAUUCUAUGCAUAGAAUAGAUUAUCACUUGCUAACAAAUCUAUGGUUCCCCCUUUCUUUUUGGGUCUAAUAAUGCCUGUUCCCUGUUGUUGACUAUGAAUUGUGUUCAUUACUAUGACACUUCACUUCUUUUUAGUUCCCUUCUGCCAUGUUUAUGCCUGUUUCAUUUGGUCUCGAGUUUACAUUGGGAUAUAGAUUUCAAGGAAGUGAAAGUCAAAGGAAUACGCUUGAUUUGAAUGUAUUGUAUUUAUACUGAGAAUGUUGCAUAUUAGUGCUCUUGUGAAUGACGGACCUUCUUUUGUAUAAAUGACUAAAAUUGUGUAAAACCACUAUAUUGCAGGUGUCCUGGAAUGGAGGCCGGAACAAGUUUUGUCACAGCUUUUGACUUAUUGUAGCAUGCACAGCACAGGUCUUGCUUUGCAUAUCGGAAUUCUUGUUAUUUGAAAUGAGAAGGGAGAGAUAAGCGACACCAGAGAUUAUAUAUAGUACAGAAAGAGCGCUAUUAUUUCUGUAUCAUUGUUAUGUGGGAAACUAGCUUAAGCUUUAGUUAUUGAACUUGGUUGAACUUUUUUUGAUAGGACAUCGAUUCUUAUAAAAUAAAUCAUCAUUGGUAUAUUUAUGAACCUUUUAUUUUAUUUUGGAGCUUAUUCAUUAUUCUAUGCUAUAGCUGCUCAGUAGCAUAAAUGGGCGAAAACUUUGGUGCAGCAGUUAUUUGACCAUGUGAUUAGUCAAUGUGUUUGUCCUAUCAACUAGGUACCUUUUGGCAAUGUUAGUAGUUAACUAGAUUUAUAACUUAAUUAUUUGGUAACCAUGGUGUACUUAUUGUUUGUCCCAUACGAACUCAUAAUAUAAGCAAGUGAAAUAUUCUGAAUAGAGUGACGAUGAUAAGGGCCAAAUUAAUAGCCUUUAGUUAUACCCACGUCAAUAUCAUUCUACGCUUAUCAAAUUCUUAGGGAAAAGUAGUCUCUACGAUUCUUGGAACUGUCAUGUUGAUUAAAUAGUGAAUUUUAUUUCCAGUAAUCAACAUGGCAAUUCCGGGAAUCAUAGAGACUACUUUUCUUAUAUCAUGCUUUCCGAAGAUAGUGCUUAGGCUUGGACCUUACAAUAUAUUUAUAUAUAAGUAUUUAACUUUCAACUUUUGGAAGAGUGCUACAAAAAAUGAAAGAAUUAUACUUACAAAGAUGAACAACUAUACUAAUAUUAAAAAGAUUAAGCCUAUUCCAUCAAAAAAUAAAAGCAGCCUGGUCAUUUCAAUUUUGGGCGAGUUCUAUGCAGGCUUUCCCCUUUAUCCUUCAGCUUGUGUAGUGUGUGUUUCUGACUUCUUAAUUAUCAUUCUCAAAUACAUUAGAACAGAAUGUAGAAGGUUUCUUCCAAGGAAUUAUUGGGUCACAACCAAACUUAAGCAAUCCCUCCUGCAUAGAGAAAGCACGCAACUUAAUAAACAGAUGAACAUAUGUAGAAAUAUUACAUGCAACUGCAGGGCUCAUGAUGGAAAGAAUACAAAUGAGGAAUCAACUUGUUUAACCAUCCAAAUCUAAUAAAGUAUUUGAAUGCUCU
rnacentral:lncRNA from 1 species